AGUGAACGCUGGCGGUAGGCCUAACACAUGCAAGUCGAACGGCAGCACAGUAAGAGCUUGCUCUUACGGGUGGCGAGUGGCGGACGGGUGAGGAAUACAUCGGAAUCUACUUUUUCGUGGGGGAUAACGUAGGGAAACUUACGCUAAUACCGCAUACGACCUACGGGUGAAAGCAGGGGAUCUUCGGACCUUGCGCGAUUGAAUGAGCCGAUGUCGGAUUAGCUAGUUGGCGGGGUAAAGGCCCACCAAGGCGACGAUCCGUAGCUGGUCUGAGAGGAUGAUCAGCCACACUGGAACGGAGACACGGUCCAGACUACUACGGGAGGCAGCAGUGGGGAAUAGUGGACAAUGGGCGCAAGCCUGAUCCAGCCAUACCGCGUGGGUGAAGAAGGCCUUCGGGUUGUAAAGCCCUUUUGUUGGGAAAGAAAAGCAGCAGGUUAAUACCCCGCUGUUCUGACGGUACCCAAAGAAUAAGCACCGGCUAACUUCGUG
rnacentral:rRNA from 1 species